rnacentral:lncRNA from 1 species
AAACUGAGAGGUUAUCAACAAAUUAUAAGUUUAAGGGUACCAUGAGGAUUUUUCAUACAUUUAAACGAAAGAAGUACAAGCGAACAGAUGACACAUUAAAGUGGCUGCAGAAGCUUGAAAAGUUAGAUAGAGCAGGGGCAGUCAAAACAGUGGGAUAAUACUUCUAUGGUGUCCAACAUGUCUAGUCAGGUUGACAGAAGUGAAAGAUGGUCUGAUGGUACAAUGAUGUACAAAUGAUACUCUUUAAC